AACCCAUGCAUUGGGCAUUUUUGAAGUAAUUCUUUAAACCUUUCCCAAGCUUCGUACAAUGUUUCAUCUUCUAAUUGUCAAAAAUACGUGAUGUCACUUCUAAACUU
rfam:Gossypium raimondii Chr10_contig_363, whole genome shotgun sequence.